rnacentral:rRNA from 1 species
UACGUAGGGUGCAAGCGUUAAUCGGAAUUACUGGGCGUAAAGUGUGCGCAGGUGGCCGCGCAAGUCGAGUGUGAAAUCCCCGAGCUUAACUUGGGAAUUGCGCUCGAAACUACGUGGCUCGAGUGUGGCAGAGGAAGGUGGAAUUCCACGUGUAGCGGUGAAAUGCGUAGAGAUGUGGAGGAACACCGAUGGCGAAGGCAGCCUUCUGGGCCAACACUGACGCUCAUGCACGAAAGCGUGGGGAGCAAACAGG